UUAAAUUAUAUUUGAAUAAGUUUGAGUAUCAGUAUUGAUACAAAUGGAAAUGGCAGCGUAAUAAUCUAUUAAAUAACUGAUUUAUUAUUGAAUACUUGUCCAAGAGCAAUAUGAGUUGUAGUCUUAAGAAAGAAAAAAAGGAGGGAGUCUGUUUUUGUAAAUUUUAGCUGAUUUCCAAAAUUCUGUUGCAAUAAUGGACUUCCUGCCAAAAUUUGACUUUCCUGUCCAGUUGCCAGGUGCUCUGAUCUAAUCUUAAAGCAGUACUGCUUGCAUAGUUUGCAGACAUGCAUAAUGCACAAAUAUGAGAACCAAAUUAUGUCCGUCACAUAGUGUGACAUUUAUUAAUUUAUUUUGGAUUGAGUUAAUUACCUGUCCAAGAAUAUGCUUUUUGUAUUGGCAUUUCUGCUGGAUAUCUGCUACAUGUUUUCUGUGCUAUAAGAUGAUGUGUGAUAUUACAAUGAGUAUGAAGAAUAUUUAAAGAAUAUUUGCAUGUCAUUAACGCAAGCCUUUAGUGUCUUUUUACAACAGAUUUAAAAAACGCUGAUCAGCCAACAAGAAAGGGGCCCCUGGGAAAGAAAAAGAAUAAAUAUAUAAUUUGCUUUUCAAAAUCGUGGAUCCACGUUUCAGUAUUAUUAGGGGAGUAUUUAGAGUUAACGCUACUUUUAAAGUGCAUUGCAUUAUUUAAGAAAAGAAAAAUGUGUUAUGUUAUAUGGUUAUAUAACAAGAAAAAUUAUGGAUGUAUAGGAUAGGUUUUUUCCAAG